rnacentral:rRNA from 1 species
CAGCAGCCACGGUAAUACGUAGGGUGCAAGCGUUAAUCGGAAUUACUGGGCGUAAAGCGUGCGCAGGCGGUUAUAUAAGACAAAUGUGAAAUCCCCGGGCUCAACCUGGGAACUGCAUUUGUGACUGUAUAGCUAGAGUACGGCAGAGGGGGAUGGAAUUCCGCGUGUAGCAGUGAAAUGCGUAGAUAUGCGGAGGAACACCGAUGGCGAAGGCAAUCCCCUGGGCCUGUACUGACGCUCAUGCACGAAAGCGUGGGGAGCAAACAGGAUUAGAUACCCCCGUAGUCCCUGUCUCUUAUAC